CAUUGAACUAUAAAUAAACUGGAAGGCUAACUGCUAUGAUGAAGGCCUAUGAGUUGAUGAAGCCAAAAUAGUUUUUUUGAGUUAUGAGCUGAAAUACUUGGCCCCCAACGUCGGGCUAUAUAUCAAAUUGAAGCUAUUGAAAAUUGCUAUUCGGUGUGGAAAUUUCAAGACUUCAGCGAAAAGGAAAAUAUUUAAAAAAUACAAAAACAACUGCAAAACGGCAAAUUAUCGGUAAUUAUGUUUGUAGUUUUUCAAUAUUUCCCUUUUAGCUAAAGUCUUGAAAUUUCUACACCAAAUAGCGUUUUUCAAUAGCUUCAAUUUGAUAUAUAGCCCGACGUUCAGUGUUGAGUAUUUCUGCUCAUAACUCAGAAAAACUAAAAUGCACUGGCUUCAAUUUCCCCCCCUGAGUUAGCCUUCCAGUUUAUUUAUAGUUCAAUGGUUGCAUCCCUAGCAACGAAAAAGGUUUGUUGUUAUUACCAUAUUGGCCAAGGGCGGAUUUUCAUUUUUUUUUUUUUUAAAGGGGUGGAAAAGUUUCUAGUGGGGUGCAAGCGGCACCACUGAGCGAGCUUCGGCAGGGGUUAGGCGUUAGGGUUAAAGACUUUCACACAAAAUAGGAGGGGUGAAGCGAAAUUUUGGUGGGGUUGAACUCUUUAUAAGAGGGGUUAGAGACAUUCUAGGGGGGGGGGGUUAGUAUCAAAGGUCUUAGUAUCCAGUCGGGAUACAAGUCAUCGACAGUUUGGUAUCCAUAACCAAAUUUUUGGUAUCCCAUGGAUAUCGGGAUGCUGCAAAUUUCAGACCCUGGUUGGUUCUAUCCAGAGAGAUGCACAAAAAUCUCGAUAUUUAUACAUUAUUUUAAGGCUAUUUUAGCAUUUAUGCAAAGGCAUAUUCGCAACUUUGGUUAUUCACAAGGUCGCUCAAUAAUACGAGUAACAAGGGAAUAACUCGCAUACAUAACAUACAAUAAUUCUAAUGCAAUUCUAAUUCACUUUGCUUCGAACGAUAGUGACGAGACAUGUGAGUUGUCCGAAGUUUUGAAUGCCAACGUUACUGUUAUAAGAAUAGCAACUAAUUAAAAUAAUCCAAGUAUUUAUGAUUUUGUGUUGGAUUAUAUAAUAAAGCUUAUUGCAUUCGCUAAUUCGAUCACGUGAUUUGGUCAUGUACACACGUAAAAACGCACAAGUUGUAAAAAAAAACUGCAGCAGACUUGUAGCAAUGCUGCAUGUGUUCAUCAGGAUGUGUUCGCACUGCUUGUUCCCAGCUUGUUGGCAAGUUGUCAUCGACUUGUUGAUAACUUGCAACAAGGUUGUUGAGCUCAACAGACUUGUUACAAGUCGUUCCAACAACUUGUUAUCGUCCUGCAACUCGACGAUUUUUUAACAAGU